rnacentral:Y_RNA from 1 species
GGCUGGUCCUAAGGUAGUGAGCUCUCACUUGAUUGUUCACAGUCAGUUAUAGAUUGAACUCCUUCUUUUACUACUCCCCGCCCCCACUACCGUACUUGACUAGUCUUAA